AACGAGACCUUAACCUGCUAACUAGCCCGUAUUGCUUUGGCAGUACGCUGGCUUCUUAGAGGGACUAUCGGCUCAAGCCGAUGGAAGUUUGAGGCAAUAAAAGGUCUGUGAUGCAAUUAGAUGUUAUGGGAAGAAAGAGAGAUACAAUGAAGGAGAAAGAGAGUUUUUUAAUUGUGCGAAAGGUCUGGGUAAUCUUGUGAAACUC
rnacentral:rRNA from 1 species